AGGCAUUGAGGCAGCCAGCGCAGGGGCUUCUGCUGAGGGGGCAGGCGGAGCUUGAGGAAACCGCAGAUAAGUUUUUUUCUCUUUGAAAGAUAGAGAUUAAUACAACUACUUAAAAAAUAUAGUCAAUAGGUUACUAAGAUAUUGCUUAGCGUUAAGUUUUUAACGUAAUUUUAAUAGCUUAAGAUUUUAAGAGAAAAUAUGAAGACUUAGAAGAGUAGCAUGAGGAAGGAAAAGAUAAAAGGUUUCUAAAACAUGACGGAGGUUGAGAUGAAGCUUCUUCAUGGAGUAAAAAAUGUAUUUAAAAGAAAAUUGAGAGAAAGGACUACAGAGCCCCGAAUUAAUACCAAUAGAAGGGCAAUGCUUUUAGAUUAAAAUGAAGGUGACUUAAACAGCUUAAAGUUUAGUUUAAAAGUUGUAGGUGAUUAAAAUAAUUUGAAGGCGAAGAAAAGAAUAGAGAAGAUAGGGAAAUUAGAAGAUAAAAACAUACUUUUAGAAGAAAAAAGAUAAAUUUAAACCUGAAAAGUAGGAAGCAGAAGAAAAAAGACAAGCUAGGAAACAAAAAGCUAAGGGCAAAAUGUACAAACUUAGAAGAAAAUUGGAAGAUAGAAACAAGAUAGAAAAUGAAAAUAUUGUCAAGAGUUUCAGAUAGAAAAUGAAAAACAAGCUAAGACAAGUAUUGGAGAAGUAUAGAAGAUAGAAAAAUAUAAAGCCAAAAAUUGGAUAAAAUAGCAC
rnacentral:lncRNA from 1 species